AAUACUUGCAACUCUUCUGGUCUUGGUACAGUGGACACAGACACACUUAUAUUAAAUAAACAAAAUCAAGAUGAUAUCGUGACUUGUCCUUCUGUUGAAUCAGAAGAGGUACAAUGUGUGGAAAACAAUAUUAAGGAAACACCUGUUCGUCCGUUG